UUGAACGCUGGCGGCAUGCUUUACACAUGCAAGUCGAACGGUAACAGGGAGCUUGCUCCGCUGACGAGUGGCGAACGGGUGAGUAAUGCAUCGGAACGUACCCAGUCGUGGGGGAUAACGUAGCGAAAGUUACGCUAAUACCGCAUACGUCCUGAGGGAGAAAGCGGGGGACCGUAAGGCCUCACGCGAUUGGAGCGGCCGAUGUCGGAUUAGCUAGUUGGUGGGGUAAAGGCCUACCAAGGCGACGAUCCGUAGCGGGUCUGAGAGGAUGAUCCGCCACACUGGGACUGAGACACGGCCCAGACUCCUACGGGAGGCAGCAGUGGGGAAUUUUGGACAAUGGGGGCAACCCUGAUCCAGCCAUGCCGCGUGAGUGAAGAAGGCCUUCGGGUUGUAAAGCUCUUUCAGACGGAAAGAAAACGCACAGGUUAAUACCUUGUGUGGAUGACGGUACCGUAAGAAGAAGCACCGGCUAACUACGU
rnacentral:rRNA from 1 species